rnacentral:lncRNA from 1 species
UUGAGAUUCUCCCUAUUCUCUCUCACAUAUCCACCAACAACAUACACAGUGGGCUCUUGGUGACUGUUCAAGUUAUGAUCUGAUUGGUUCGCCUAUCUCUUUGUGAGGGCCUACACAUCGUUCUCAUCAGUGAAGAUCGGUCCAUCUUGUUGUUAAUCUUAUCUGUUAUGCUUGGUUGGAUUGUAGGACACAGGCUAUUGGUGAAGUUUUCUUGGCUAAUCCUGAGGUUUUUUGCCCUGUCUAUGACUGUAAUUGUUGGUGAUUACUGAAGUUUAUGAUAGCCUUGUAUUUUUCUCUUGUUGGGCUGGAAGCAGCUGUUGGGCUUAGGAAUUUGAGUUGAUGAAUUUGCACAUGGGCCUUGUCUAAUGCAGAGUACUUCUUGGGCUUUGGCCUCACUAUAAAAGAGUGGGGUUUUGGUCCUGUUCUUAGUUGAUUGAGAUUCUCCCUAUUCUCUCUCACAUAUCCACCAACAACAUACACAGUGGGCUCUUGGUGACUGUUCAAGUUAUGAUCUGAUUGGUUCGCCUAUCUCUUUGUGAGGGCCUACACAUCGUUCUCAUCAGUGAAGAUCGGUCCAUCUUGUUGUUAAUCUUAUCUGUGAGAUUAGUUUAUCUUACUAUUGAUCUUCCAUGUGUAGAUCAGGUUGUAUAUGUUCUUGUUUGUUUCUUUAUUGUCUUCGUAUUUGUAGAUCAACUGAUUAAAUCAGUUGAUCUAAGCGUUUGUACAUUAGAUCUUACUUUGUGUAAGAUCAAGGGUUUUGGUUGGGUGUUUUUUUUGGUUUGGGUAAACGAAUAAUAAAGUUUUACGUCACGUUUUAUCGCUUC